CCCAGUUUGUCUACAUGAAUCUACAUGACUUGUUAUCCAUAUCUUGUAUAGAUCGGUCCUCGUAGGUGAGUGUGCUCAAUAUAUGGCGAUACGACCUCUCGUUAAAUAUCUCGCUUAGACGGUGAAAAAAUUAAGAUGAAAAGAAACAGAAAAUAAAUGUUCGUUUGAACCCUUGUAGAUACCAGCAUAAACCAAUCGGUAUCGCUCGGAGGCGAGGUGGUGUUCCGAUUGCACCAUAAUCGUUAUCCAAUAAGAGUCGGCGUUCCAUAUCAUACAAAUAUAUAAAGGAAGCACGUUAUAGUAUUGUCAUUCCUGUGAGGACGCUGUCGUAUCGAUCAGAGGAACAAGUCAAAGAAGAAAAUGUCAAAGGUAUUUAAAGACCCAGUGCACGGAGAGAUCGAACUAGAUCCUUUAUGCGUGAAAAUUGUCGAUACGCCUGAAUUCCAAAGAUUGCGGUUCAUCAGACAGUUGGGAGCGUGCUUCUUUCUAUAUUAUGGUGCUUCUCACAGUCGCUUCGAUCACUCCAUUGGAGUGUACCACCUCGCGGGGAAAUUGGUUGAAGCAAUCGCAAGUUGACAAGAAGACGAUCAAAAAGUUUGUGAGAAGAAGAGGCUAUGUGUGAAAAUCGCAGGGCUUUGCCAUGAUUUGGGCCAUGGACCAUUUUCUCACAUGUUUGAAAAAGUUGUCAAAAAACUGUCGGGAAAGGAAUGGAAGCACGAGGAAGCCUCAAAAAUCCUGAUUGAUAGAAUAUAUGGAAAAUUGAGGAAUGAAUUUAAGG